AAAAGUUGGCAAAGGAUCUGAAUACACAUUUUUUCCCUUUUUUUUUUUUUAAGAUUUUAUUUAUUUAUUUUGACAGAGAGAGAGAGACAAUGAGAGAGGGAACACAGCAGGGGAGUGGGAGAGGGAGAAGCAGGCUUCCCACUGAGCAGAGAGCCCACAUGGGGCUCGAUCCCAGGACCCUGGGAUCAUGACCUGAGCUGAAGGCAGAUGCUUAAUGACUGAGCCACCCAAGGGCCCCUGAAUACACAGGGACAUACAAAUGGCCAGUAAGCACAUGAAAAGAUACUCAACAUCAUUAACUAUCAGGGAGAUGCAAAUCAAAACCACGGUGAGAUACCACUUCACACCCAGUAGGAUGGCUAUGAUCAAAAGAAAGAGAAUAACAAAUAUUGGUAAGGAUGUGGAGAAACUGAAACCUCAUACACUGCUAGCAGAGUUGUAAAAUAGUGCGGCCACUUUGGAAAACAGUCUGGCAGUUCCUCAAAAGGUCAAUCAUAGAGUUACCACAUGACCCAGCAAUUCUACUCCUAGGUGUAUACCCAAGAGACAUGAAAACAUAUGUCUACACAGAAGAUUGUACACAAGUGUUCACAGAAGCUUUAUGCAUAAUAGGCAAAAAAUGGAAACAACCCAAAUGCCCAUCAAUUGAUGGGCAGAUAUACAAAAUGUGGCAUAUCCAUGCAAUGGAAUAUUAUCCAUUCAUAGAAAGGAAAUGAAGUCCUCAUACAUGCUAAAACACAGAUAAACUUUGAAAACAUCAUGCUAAGUAAAAGAAGUCAGCCACAAUAAGGAAAUCACUUAUUGUAUGGUUUCAUUUAUUUAAAAUGCACAGAAUAGGCAAAUCUUUAGAGACAGAAAAUAGAUUAGUGAUUGCCUAGGGCUGGGGGAAAUGGGGAGUGGCUGUUAAUGGGUAUUAGGUUUAUUUUGGGGAUGAUGAAAGUGUUCUAACAAUUAUGUUGAUGGUUGCGUUCUCUGUGAAUAUACUGAAAACCAAUGUAAAUAAGUGAAUAGUAUGGAAUGUGAAUUAUAUCUCGAUAAAGCUAUUAUAUAUAUGUUAAAAACCCUAGCAUGGUCUCUGCCCUUGUGGAAAACAUAAUCUUUCUGGGAAGAUAAAUAUUAAUCAAAUAAUUAUACAGAGAGAUUUAUAGUUACAAAUUAUGAUAAGUGCUAUGAAAGGAACGAACUGGAUAUUAUGAAAGAGAAUAGCAGGAGGCUAAUGGGGGUUAGCGAAGAGGUAUUAGAAAAACUGCAGCAUUCAGGUGCUCCAGCAGAGAUCCCCAAAUAGCACUGGCUUAGAAGAGGCAAAUGUUUAAUUCUCACUGGUGUGGUAGUGCAGGUGUAACCAGUCUAGGGCUCAUAUGGAAACCCUACAAUUUUUAAGGAUCUUCUAACCUGUUGCUCUUUUUCUCCCUUGGAGCGGCUCUCCACCAUGUCUACAGUCUAAGCAGUGAGAAGGAGAAAAGGGGCACAGGAAGGCUCAUCACUUCUGCUCAGAGCCAGAACUCAGUCACACAAGACUGGGGUGUACUGGGUGUUCAUGUGCCCAGACUAAAUUCUGGGGUUCUAUUACUGAAAGGGGGGACAAACAGAGGUUGGGUGAACGGUUAGCAGUCUUUGCCAUAGAUGGCCUCUCUGAGGAAGUGACAUUGAAGGUGAGAACCUAAGGAUGAGUUGCUGUUAAAGAGAGGGAAGAGUUUUGCAGGCAAAGGGGAUGACGUGUGUCAGGGACAGGAAGCAGGAAGGACCAGCUAUAGUGUUUAAUGCUGUUUAAUGGAGUGUGUGUCUACCACAACCGUCCCUCCCAAUGCUUAGAACUUAUGAGUGCUGUGACUUGACCGGGGUUCACCUGCCUUUUCUCUCUCGUAUCUUACAGGGCUGGGGCUGGCCAGGACUGCAAGGAGGGGGGCUUCGUGCUGACUCCAGAAGGCCGGUGUGUAUCCUCAGCUUUGAGAACUGAAUUCCAUGGGUUGUGUCAGUGUCAGACCUGUGAAGUUCAGUUCUUCAGCUGGGAUAUCUCUGUCAUCAUGGACUUAGGGAUCCUGCAGACAGCAGACCCAAGGGUGGCCGAAGAAUUUGGAAGACUGGAGACAGAAGGGCAAAGUCUCAGACUCUGAAGGAAUGGGGAGGGGGGCUCAUGGGAAAAGCACUCAUUUAAUUGUGAGAAAACUUGAGUUCUAUGCUGAGCAGGGUUCCAGCUAGCUAAAUGAAUGCUCUCUGCAAGUCAUUCUGGUUAUGGCUACUGCCAUAGUUUACAUAUAUUGAUUACUUAUGGCAAUCCAGGUGCUGUACUAAGUGCUUUACCUGCUGUUAGAGGAGACUCUUGGGGAAAGUCACGAACGAAGCUUGAGACACCUAGCACUGCCAUGCAAUGGUAUUUUUCCCUCUUUAUGGGAUCAGACAGAAUUAAUAGAAUGUUACAGUCAUUCUUUAGCAUGGACUGCUGAGAGAACUAGUCUCUCUUAAAGAUGAGAAUUAUGGGUACAUCCCUCUUAUGGUCCCCCUGUCCCUUUACUUGAAUCUCUACUUCCUUGCCUUCUAUAAAUACAUUAGGGAUACAUUGUGUCUUUAUAUUCCAAGCAAGGCAAAAAGAGGUUGUAAUUAGAUUUUACCAGGAUCCCUAGUUUCUCCCAGGGAAAAGGGAUACAGAGGUUUUGAAGGCUCCCUCCAUUUCCUGGCGUGGUUAGCUAUAUUUUGUGGGUCAAGAUCUUCUGUUGUCUUCCUCUGUCACCAAGUCAGUUAGGUCUAUUCUGAGGCUCAGAUUUGCUAUGACGAUGAUGACAAUUUCUACCUUUAGGCAAAGGGCUGGGACUGUAUAAGUAAUAUCUGGACUUUCAUUAGGUUUUAUAUCUGAUGGGGAAUAAAGAGUGUUCUUCAUCUCUUGGAAACUCAUCUUUGAUUCAUUGCUGUCUGUUGGUGUGCUGAAGUGUCCAUCUCUUUAUAGCCUACAGAAUGAAAGUGUGGUCUGGCCCGGAGAGGAGAGACACGCACAAAGCAUGUGCAUUCUCAUACCGGCUUCUCAGUGACACUGAGUCAGCGAUACUUCUUGUAAUCACACCAAGCCUCAUUUGGAAAAUAGGGACAAAGUAGCAAAAGGAUAUUGUAUAAAAAUGUGUAACUACAUUCAUGGAUGUAAAGGGGUGCUUGGUUCUUAUGAAAGCCCCCUGGCAUGGGUGUGGAGCCUGUGUGUGCUCUCUGGGCUAUACCGAUCAUCUCAAGAACCUCUCCCACCCCUCUCACCCUGCCCACUUCCGCCCUUUACUUACUAGACUCUUGGUCAGUGACUCAUUCUUGGACCAGAACAUUGGUGAAGCUCAACUGUGACCAGAGAUCAGUGUCCUUAGACCUAGACUGCUGGACAAAAUCCAGAAUUUACACCAGAAGCUCUACAUGCUCUGGGUUUCAGAGCAUCUGUGCUGUGAACACGAACUUAGACCCAGAACUCUGAUUUGCUACAAAAGUCUCAUCCUUACUAGAGAUGAACUCUUCUUAAAGCAAACCUGAGAAAUGAAAUAUGGAAUACACACAGACACAUACACACGUGUGUGCACACACAUGCAUUGAAAAAUAGCAUGAUAGGUCUGUGAGUAGUGGGUAAAUAUUCACUAUAUAUAAACUGUUUCAUUUCCUAAUUUGUAUUAAGAUUCCAUUAAGUAAUACAUAUCCCGAGGAGUUUUGAGGUUUUAUUUGUUUUGUCAAAACAUAUUUUAUAUAAGUAGAAAAAGCAGGUCACAAAAUAACUUAGAUUAUAUGAUUCAAUUUAUGUAAAAUUAUAAAUGUAUAUAGGAAUAUGUGCUUUGAAAGAUGUACAUGCGUUUAUUAACAGGGAUCAUCUCUGGGAUGGUGGGAAUUGAGAUGGGUUUUCUAUUCUUUGUAUUUUUCUCUAUUGUUUGAUUCUUAUACUGAGCAUAUUUAAUUAAAAUAAUGAAGUUAUUGAAGGAAAUUUCACACACAAUUGUGAUGAAUCUAGACAGUGCUAAUGUUGUGCAUUUGUUGGAAGUUAAGUUGCAGAGGUGUGCCACGGAAGAGGAGAGAGAGGUUCUUGAUGUGUUCAGUGAAGAAGAUUGCAGAAGACGCUGAAACUUUUCCAACCUGUGGAGUGGAAGUUGACUAGAAGAGAGGGAUUUGUGCCAGACCCAACUGGAAGUCAGAGGGCCAGGAGCCCAUUGAUGCACUUGGGCAGGUCAGCCUCUGGGGCCACAAAGCAGGAUGCGGAAGAGAGGAGAGUGGCUCGAGAGGAGCAAACGAAGGCAUCUAGCACAAGGGGCAAGCCAAAGCCAGUUAAGAAGUUAAGAUGACUGAAUUCAAGGUCCAGCUUUGAUGGUGUUGGGGAAACAGCAGCUCUUCCUCAUUCUCUUUCCCUGGCAGCCUUGGUCAGCAACCUCCUCUACCAGAAAAAUUAAUUCCAUGUCAGAGAUUCCUCAAGUUUGUAACAUGUAGCUUGAGACUUUUAUCUUGAUGACUUCCCAAAUGGACAAAAGGCUGAACCAUGGAGGGUGGUGGUACCCUCUUCCAGCUUUUCAGAGGAUUGGCAGAACACAUUGAACCCUACCUGUAGGAAGCUUUAUUUUAAAACGUCUAAGACAGGUCUGUCUGUUUUAAAAUUUCUUCUCUAAAAUCUAUUCAGCUUAAUCCUCCUUGUCAAAAACUGUGUAUCCUGCUAAACUGAGCCAUAAAUUACCACCACUAAAAAUCAUUUGCUUGCUUGCUUUAAGAAUUCUCAGUUUCUGGGGCGCCUGGGUGGCUCAGUUGGUUGGGCGACUGCCUUCGGCUCGGGUCAUGAUCCUGGAGUCCCGGGAUCGAGUCCCGCAUCGGGCUCCCUGCUCGGCGGGGAGCCUGCUUCUCCCUCUGACCCUCCCCCCUCUC